rnacentral:rRNA from 1 species
GGGGGGUGCUAGCGUUAUUCGGAAUCAUUGGGCGUAAAGGGCGCGUAGGCGGUCUUUUAAGUCAGAUGUGAAAGCCCUCGGCUUAACCGAGGAAGUGCAUUUGAUACUAAGAGACUUGAGUAUGGGAGAGGGAAGCGGAAUUCCUGGUGUAGCGGUGAAAUGCGUAGAUAUCAGGAGGAACACCGGUGGCGAAGGCGGCCUCCUGGACCAAUACUGACGCUGAGGCGCGAAGGCGUGGGGAGCAAACAGGAUUAGAUACCCUGGUAGUCCACGCCGUAAACGAUGGGUACUAGGCGUCGGGGGGAGCGACCCCCUCGGUGCCGUCGCUAACGCAGUAAGUACCCCGCCUGGGGAGUACGGUCGCAAGACUG